rnacentral:rRNA from 1 species
AACCAGCACCUCAAGUGGUCAGGAUGAUUAUUGGGCCUAAAGCAUCCGUAGCCUGUUCUGUAAGUUUUCGGUUAAAUCCAUAAGCUCAACUUAUGGGCUGCCGAAAAUACUGCAGAACUAGGGAGUGGGAGAGGUAGACGGUACUCGGUAGGAAGGGGUAAAAUCCUUUGAUCUAUUGAUGACCACCUGUGGCGAAGGCGGUCUACCAGAACACGUUCGACGGUGAGGGAUGAAAGCUGGGGGAGCAAACCGG